rnacentral:rRNA from 1 species
AACGAACGCUGGCGGCAUGCCUAACACAUGCAAGUCGAACGAGACCUUCGGGUCUAGUGGCGCACGGGUGCGUAACGCGUGGGAACCUGCCCUUAGGUUCGGAAUAACUCCCCGAAAGGGGUGCUAAUACCGGAUAAUGUCUUCGGACCAAAGAUUUAUCGCCUUUGGAUGGGCCCGCGUUGGAUUAGCUAGUUGGUAGGGUAAAAGCCUACCAAGGCGACGAUCCAUAGCUGGUCUGAGAGGAUGAUCAGCCACACUGGGACUGAGACACGGCCCAGACUCCUACGGGAGGCAGCAGUGGGGAAUAUUGGAAAAUGGGCGAAAGCCUGAUACAGCAAUGCCGCGUGAGUGAUGAAGGCCUUAGGGUUGUAAAGCUCUUUUAACCGGGAUGAUAAUGACAGUACCGGGAGAAUAAGCUCCGGCUAACUCCGUG